AGUUGACGUGGAGCAGGCGGCAUAAAUCAAGUCCGCGGGGCAUGGAGGCUGCUGUCGCUGCAGCAGCUCAGCUUGCCCGGGGCGGGAACUCCCCCUUUCUCCUUUCGCCUCCCCAGCACCCACACCCUGUCUCCCCCUGAAUUCUUCCCUGGAUAAUAGCACCCUAACGACAACAGUCAUAAUAAUAGGGUUAGAACGACAGGGGAGGAAAACCCAACAGCCUAAAUAUCUCUGAAAACUGCAUCGCAAAAUGGAAGAAAGAGGGGGUCCCACUACUGUUUCAAAAGAGUAAGUUAUUAUUCGGAUCGACAGAACUUGACUUAGAAAGCUGGCACACAGCUUCAUGGAAGCAGCUUCUAGAGGAAUGCUAUCCAACAUAACUUUCUGUGAUGACAGAAAUGUACUACAGCUGCCUUGUCCAAUAAGGAGCCAUGGAAGCCAAAUGCUGAGGAUGGUGGCAUCAUAGGGUGAAUGGAGCUGGGUUCUUGAAACACUGCUUGGAGGAAAGACAGCAAAAAUGCCUCAUGAAUCCAACUGGACUGUUAUGAUGCUCACC
rnacentral:antisense_RNA from 1 species